CGCCUGUUUAUCAAAAACAUCGCCUCUUGUUCAAUUAUAGGAGGUCCAGCCUGCCCAGUGACUUUGUUCAACGGCCGCGGUAUCCUAACCGUGCGAAGGUAGCGUAAUCACUUGUUCUUUAAAUGAGGACUAGUAUGAAUGGCCCCACGAGGGCUGCACUGUCUCCUUUUUCUAAUCAAUGAAACUAAUCUCCCCGUGAAGAAGCGGGAAUUAUUCUAUAAGACGAGAAGACCCUAUGGAGCUUUAAACAAUUGAAACAUUUGCUUUCCUCCUAACUCCUCCCGAGCUCUUUAUUUUUAUUUAAGCAUUAUUAUUUCUAGUUUUAGGUUGGGGUGACCACGGAGCAAAACUAAACCUCCAUGAAGAAAUGAAUAUUUUUAAGCCACAAACUACUUUUUUAAGCAUCAACAAAUUGACCUUCAUUGACCCAAUAUAUUGAUCAACGAACCAAGUUACCCUAGGGAUAACAGCGCAAUCUACUUCAAGAGCUCAUAUCGACAAGUAGGUUUACGACCUCGAUGUUGGAUCAGGGUAUCCUAGUGGUGCAGCCGCUACUAAUGGUUCGUUUGUUCAACGAUUAAAACCCU
rnacentral:rRNA from 1 species